rnacentral:rRNA from 1 species
GGCUCAGGACGAACGCUGGCGGUGUGCUUCACACAUGCAAGUCGAACGGGGUAGCAAUACCCAGUGGCGGACGGGUGAGUAACACGUGGGAAUCUGCCUUCAGAUGGGGGAUAGCUGGCCGAAAGGCCAAUUAAUACCCCAUAUGCCGCAAGGUAAAAGGAGUAAUCCGUCUGAAGAUGAGCCCGCGCCCGAUUAGCUAGUUGGUAGGGUAAAGGCCUACCAAGGCUCCGAUCGGUAGCUGGUCUGAGAGGAUGAUCAGCCACAAUGGGACUGAGACACGGCCCAUACUCCUACGGGAGGCAGCAGUGGGGAAUUUUACGCAAUGGGGGAAACCCUGACGUAGCGACACCGCGUGAGCGAUGAAGCCCUUUGGGGUGUAAAGCUCUGUCAACAGGGACGAAAAAAAUGACGGUACCUGUGGAGGAAGCAUCGGCUAACUACGUGCCAGCAGCCGCGGUAAGACGUAGGAUGCGAGCGUUGUCCGGAUUUAUUGGGCGUAAAGAGUUCGUAGGUGGUUUGUUAAGUCUGGUGUUAAAUACUGAAGCUCAACUUCGGAACUGCACUGGAUACUGGCAGACUUGAGUACGGUAGAGGCGAGUGGAAUUCCCAGUGUAGCGGUGAAAUGCGUAGAUAUUGGGAAGAACACCGGUGGCGCAAGCGACUCGCUGGGCCGUUACUGACACUGAGGAACGAAAGCUAGGGGAGCAAAUGGGAUUAGAUACCCCAGUAGUCCUAGCUGUAAACGAUGGAUACUAGGCGUUGUGGGUAUCGACCCCUACAGUGCCGCAGCUAACGCGAUAAGUAUCCCGCCUGAG